rnacentral:rRNA from 1 species
AGUGAACGCUGGCGGUAGGCCUAACACAUGCCAGUCGAACGGCAGCACAGUAAGAGCUUGCUCUUACGGGUGGCGAGUGGCGGACGGGUGAGGAAUACAUCGGAAUCUACUUUUUCGUGGGGGAUAACGUAGGGAAACUUACGCUAAUACCGCAUACGACCUACGGGUGAAAGCAGGGGAUCUUCGGACCUUGCGCGAUCGAAUGAGCCGAUGUCGGAUUAGCUAGUUGGCGGGGUAAAGGCCCACCAAGGCGACGAUCCGUAGCUGGUCUGAGAGGAUGAUCAGCCACACUGGAACUGAGACACGGUCCAGACUCCUACGGGAGGCAGCAGUGGGGAAUAUUGGACAAUGGGCGCAAGCCUGAUCCAGCCAUACCGCGUGGGUGAAGAAGGCCUUCGGGUUGUAAAGCCCUUUUGUUGGGAAAGAAAAGCAGCAGGUUAAUACCCCGCUGUUCUGACGGUACCCAAAGAAUAAGCACCGGCUAACUUCGU